rnacentral:rRNA from 1 species
CGGAACGUCGCCCGUGGAGGUGGGGGAAUAACGCAGACGAAAGCUACGCUAAUACCGCAUAUUCUGUGAGCAGGAAAGCAGGGGAUCGCAAGACCUUGCGCUUUGGGAGCGGCCGAUGUCGGAUUAGCUAGUUGGUGGGGUAAAGGCUUACCAAGGCGACGAUCCGUAGCGGGUCUGAGAGGAUGAUCCGCCACACUGGGACUGAGACACGGCCCAGACUCCUACGGGAGGCAGCAGUGGGGAAUUUUGGACAAUGGGCGGAAGCCUGAUCCAGCCAUGCCGCGUGAGUGAAGAAGGCCUUCGGGUUGUAAAGCUCUUUCGGUGGGGAAGAAAUUGCUUGGGUUAAUACCCUGAGUAGAUGACGGUACCUGCACAAGAAGCACCGGCUAACUACGUG